CACAGUGGUGGCUUGGCGGUUAAAGCUCAGGGUUAGUGAUCGGAAGGUCCAGGGUUCAAGCCCCUGCUCUGCCA